GACAGGUAUGGUCCCUGCUUUUACGUCAGCUAUAACUAAACUUACACAUGCAAGUAUCCGCACCCCAGUGAGAAUGCCCUCAACACCCAACCGGACUAGAGGAGCAGGCAUCAGGCACACGCUACGUAGCCCAAGACGCCUUGCUACGCCACACCCCCAAGGGUAUUCAGCAGUGAUUAAUAUUAAACAUAAGCGAAAGCUUGAUUUAGUUAAAGUUAAGAGGGUCGGUAAAACUCGUGCCAGCCACCGCGGUUAUACGAGAGACCCAAGUUGACGCCUACGGCGUAAAGCGUGAUUAUAGGCCAGAACAAAACUAAAGCCAAAACCCCUCAAAGCUGUUAUACGCACAUCGAGGGCCGUAAGCCCAAAAACGAAAGUAGCUUUAAUUCAACUACCUAGACCACACGACAGUUGGGAAACAAACUGGGAUUAGAUACCCCACUAUGCCCAACCAUAAACUUUGAUAAUAAGAUACAAAUAUUAUCCGCCAGGGAACUACAAGCGCAUUGCUCGAAACCCAACGGACUUGGCGGUGCCCCACACCCACCUAGAGGAGCCUGUUCUGUAACUGACAAUCCCCGUUUAACCUCACCACCCCUAGCUUAAUCAGUCUAUAUACCACCGUCGUAAGCUCACCCUGUGAAGGCCCAAUAGUAAGCAAGAUGGGCACAACCCAACACGUCAGGUCGAGGUGUAGCACAUGGGGCGGGAAGAAAUGGGCUACAUUUUCUGCCCAACAGAAUACCAACGAAUAACGACAUGAAACUGUCGUUUAAAGGAGGAUUUAGCAGUAAAAAGAAAAUAGAGAGUUCUUUUGAAGCCGGCCCUGGGGCGCGCACACACCGCCCGUCACUCUCCACUAUAACUUUCUUACAAAAGAAUAAAAUACAAGAUUAAAUAAUACUAAUUACCCCAACAGUGGAGACAAGUCGUAACACGGUAAGUGUACCGGAAGGUGCACUUGGAACAAC
rnacentral:ncRNA from 1 species